rnacentral:rRNA from 1 species
CCUACGGGUGACAGCAGUGAGGAAUAUUGGUCAAUGGGAGAGAUCCUGAACCAGCCAAGCCGCGUUCGGGAAGACGGCCCUAUGUGUUGUAAACCUCUUUUGUCGGAGAACAAAACCCGGGACGUGUCCCGGACUGCGUGUAUCCGAAGAAAAAGCAUCGGCUAACUCCGUGCCAGCAGCCGCGGUAAUACGGAGGAUGCGAGCGUUAUCCGGAUUUAUUGGGUUUAAAGGGUGCGUAGGCGGUCCGUUAAGUCAGCGGGAAAAUUGCGGGGCUCAACCCCGUCGAGCCGUUGAAACUGGCAGACUUGAGAUGGCGAGAAGUACGCGGAAUGCGCGGUGUAGCGGUGAAAUGCAUAGAUAUCGCGCAGAACUCCGAUUGCGAAGGCAGCGUACCGGCGCCAGACUGACGCUGAGGCACGAAAGCGUGGGGAUCGAACAGGAUUAGAUACCCGUGUAGUC